GCUCACCAAGGCAUCGACGGGUAGCUGGUCUGAGAGGACGAUCAGCCACACUGGGACUGAGACACGGCCCAGACUCCUACGGGAGGCAGCAGCAGGGAAUUUUGCACAAUGGGCGCAAGCCUGAUGCAGCGACGCCGCGUGGGGGAUGAAUGCCUUCGGGUUGUAAACCCCUUUUAUCAGGGACGAAUAAUGACGGUACCUGAGGAAUAAGCCUCGGCUAACUACGUGCCAGCAGCCGCGGUAAUACGUAGGAGGCGAGCGUUAUCCGGAUUUACUGGGCGUAAAGGGUGCGUAGGCGGCUAUAAAAGUUUGGUGUGAAAUCUCCGGGCUCAACCCGGAAACUGCAUUGAAAACUAGAUAGCUAGAGGAUCGGAGAGGAGAUUGGAAUUCUCAGUGUAGCAGUGAAAUGCGUAGAUAUUGAGAGGAACACCAGUUGCGAAGGCGGAUCUCUGGACGGUUCCUGACGCUGAGGCACGAAAGCUGGGGUAGCGAAGAGGAUUAGAUACCCUCGUAGUCCCAGCCGUAAACGGUGCGCACUUGCUGUGGGCGGAUUCGACCCCGUCCGUGGCGAAGCUAACGCGAUAAGUGCGCCGCCUGGGGAGUACGGUCGCAAGAUUAAAACUCAAAGAAAUUGACGGGGGCCUGCACAAGCGGUGGAGUAUGUGGCUUAAUUCGAUGCAACGCGAAGAACCUUACCUGGCCUUGACAUGUAGUGGACCGGGUGCGACAUCACCCUUUCCUUCGGGACUGCUACACAGGUGCUGCAUGGCUGUCGUCAGCUCGUGUCGUGAGAUGUUGGGUUAAGUCCCGCAACGAGCGCAACCCCCGUGUUCUGUUGCCACCCGGAUGAGAAUCCGGAGCACUCUGGACAGACUGCCUGGUUUCAACCAGGAGGAAGGUGGGGAUGACGUCAAGUCAGUAUGGCCCUUACGGCCAGGGCUGCACACGUACUACAAUGCCUGAUAUAAUGGGAAGCGAGACCGCGAGGUGGAGCAAAUCCUCAAAAUCAGGCCCAGUUCAGAUUGUAGGCUGCAACUCGCCUACAUGAAGGAGGAAUCGCUAGUAAUGCCGUAUCAGCUACGACGGCGUGAAUACGUUCCCAGGCCUUGUACACACCGCCCGUCACAUCAUGAAAGUCGAUUGUACCCGAAGUCGCCGCGUUAACCGCAAGGAGACAGGUGCCGAAGGUAUGGUUGGUAAUUGGGAUGAAGUCGUAACAAGGUAGCCGUAGGGGAACCUGUGGCUG
rnacentral:rRNA from 1 species